AUGCCAUGGUGUAGGCACUCCUUUUGAAGAUCUUUAUACCUUUCCCAUGCAUCAUAGAGAGAUUUAUUGUCUUUCUGUCUGAAGGUAUUGAGUUCAGCACUAAGUUU